UACGUAGGGGGCAAGCGUUGUCCGGAAUCAUUGGGCGUAAAGCGCGUGUAGGCGGUUCGAUAAGUCUGCUGUGAAAGUCCAGGGCUCAACCCUGGGAUGCCGGUGGAUACUGUCGGACUAGAGUGCGGAAGGGGCAACUGGAAUUCUCGGUGUAGCGGUGAAAUGCGUAGAUAUCGAGAGGAACACCUGCGGCGAAGGCGGGUUGCUGGGCCGACACUGACGCUGAUGCGCGAAAGCCAGGGGAGCGAACGGG
rnacentral:rRNA from 1 species